AACGAACGCUGGCGGCAGGCUUAACACAUGCAAGUCGAACGCGUGUAGCAAUACACGAGUGGCGCACGGGUGAGUAACGCGUGGAUAUCUGCCUUUUGGUUCGGAAUAACCCCGGGAACUGGGGCUAAUACCGGAUGGUUCCUUCGGGAUAAAGAUUUAUCGCCAAAAGAUGAGUCCGCGUCCGAUUAGCUAGUUGGUGAGGUAAUGGCUCACCAAGGCGACGAUCGGUAGCUGGUCGAGAGGACGAUCAGCCACACUGGGACUGAGACACGGCCCAGACUCCUACGGGAGGCAGCAGUGGGGAAUAUUGGACAAUGGGGGCAACCCUGAUCCAGCCAUGCCGCGUGAGUGAUGAAGGCCUUCGGCGUGUAAAGCUCUUUUGGUCGGGGACGGAUGAUGACGGUACCCGCAGAAUAAGACCCCGGCUAACUUCGUGCCAGCAGCCGCUGUAA
rnacentral:rRNA from 1 species